AUAAAAGAGUACGUGAAUAUGAAUUUUAAAAAAUCUUUGAUAAGUAUAAAAAUAAAAUCGUUAAAGAAAAAACAAUCAAAUAAUAAUGAUGAAAAUAUAAAUUACCACCCACGUGUUUUAUGAAGUUUCCACAUGUCGUGGUGCAUGUAUGACUAUAAUUUUGUAGGAGAAAAAAUCACGCAUCAAAAGAGGGGAGAAUAUGCUUUAUAUUAAAUCAUCCCGAGUCAUCUAAAAGUUCAGUAGCAGUUGAAUAUUGUUCAAGCAAACAACAAAAUAAUAUUUAAAAAAUAUCCUUUUUUUUUUUUUUCUUUUCUUUUCUUCAUUAUUUAAUUUUGUAAUAUAAUUAAUAACUUAUCUAAAAUUUGUUUAAAUAAUUUUUAAUUCGAAUGAAGCUCAGUAUAUUUUGUCUUGUAUUAUUUUUAUCAAUUAUAUUCAUUAAUAAAAUGGCACAUGGUUUUCCCGCCAGUGAUCCAGAAGCAGCUGCUGAAAAUAUGAGGUCGAUUCCACAAUGGCAUUGCCUUCGUUAUAGGAAAUUCGAUCUAGUUCGUCGAUGCAGAAAUUAUCGUCUAUCACGCAAACACUGACCUAUCAGAAAGCGG